rnacentral:rRNA from 1 species
GAUGAACGCUGACAGAAUGCUUAACACAUGCAAGUCGACUUGUGGCGGACGGGUGAGUAACGCGUAAAGAACUUGGCUCUCGGAUAGGGACAACCUUAGGAAAGGAAAGCUCAUACCGGAAACUGUGAGCGAGCUUUGCGUCCCAUUAGCUAGUUGGAGAGGUACCGGCUCACCAAUGAGAUGAUGGGUAGCCGGCCUGAGAUGGUGAUCGGCCACAAGGGGACUGAGACACUGCCCGUACUCUUACGGGAGUCAGCAGUGGGGAAUAUUGGACGAUGGACCGAUGUCUGAAGCAGCAAUUCGGUGUGCACGAUAAAGUUUUCGGAAUGUAAAGUGCUUUCAGUUUGGAAGCGUUACCAACAGAAGAAGUGACGGCUAAAUACGUGCCAGCAGCCGCGGUAAUAC